GCAUAUCCCUUCCACUGAUCUCACUUACCUGGCCAACCUAGUGAGUUAGGUUUUGAUUAGAUCACUUGGUGAUUAGGGCUCAUCCAUGUCAUUAGGUAAAUCAAUGUGACUGAUUUAGGUGCUCCUAAUGUCGGCUUUAAUUAAAUCUUUUUUAAUCUGACUUGGUGAAGUCAGUGGGAGGAUUGAAAUUGGCUGGUUAAUUUCUUCUCUUCUAUCCUUUAAUAAAAUCCUCAAAAAUUAUUAGGUCCCUAAAAAUGAUUAAGUUAUAGUCAUAACUAAGUC
rnacentral:lncRNA from 1 species